rnacentral:rRNA from 1 species
CGCUGGCGGCAGGCCUAACACAUGCAAGUCGAGCGGAAACGAGUUAUCUGAACCUUCGGGGAACGAUAACGGCGUCGAGCGGCGGACGGGUGAGUAAUGCCUAGGAAAUUGCCCUGAUGUGGGGGAUAACCAUUGGAAACGAUGGCUAAUACCGCAUGAUGCCUACGGGCCAAAGAGGGGGACCUUCGGGCCUCUCGCGUCAGGAUAUGCCUAGGUGGGAUUAGCUAGUUGGUGAGGUAAGGGCUCACCAAGGCGACGAUCCCUAGCUGGUCUGAGAGGAUGAUCAGCCACACUGGAACUGAGACACGGUCCAGACUCCUACGGGAGGCAGCAGUGGGGAAUAUUGCACAAUGGGCGCAAGCCUGAUGCAGCCAUGCCGCGUGUGUGAAGAAGGCCUUCGGGUUGUAAAGCACUUUCAGUCGUGAGGAAGGUAGUGUAGUUAAUAGCUGCAUUAUUUGACGUUAGCGACAGAAGAAGCACCGGCUAACUCCGUGCCAGCAGCCGCGGUAAUACGGAGGGUGCGAGCGUUAAUCGGAAUUACUGGGCGUAAAGCGCAUGCAGGUGGUUUGUUAAGUCAGAUGUGAAAGCCCGGGGCUCAACCUCGGAAUAGCAUUUGAAACUGGCAGACUAGAGUACUGUAGAGGGGGGUAGAAUUUCAGGUGUAGCGGUGAAAUGCGUAGAGAUCUGAAGGAAUACCGGUGGCGAAGGCGGCCCCCUGGACAGAUACUGACACUCAGAUGCGAAAGCGUGGGGAGCAAACAGGAUUAGAUACCCUGGUAGUCCACGCCGUAAACGAUGUCUACUUGGAGGUUGUGGCCUUGAGCCGUGGCUUUCGGAGCUAACGCGUUAAGUAGACCGCCUGGGGAGUACGGUCGCAAGAUUAAAACUCAAAUGAAUUGACGGGGGCCCGCACAAGCGGUGGAGCAUGUGGUUUAAUUCGAUGCAACGCGAAGAACCUUACCUACUCUUGACAUCCAGAGAACUUUCCAGAGAUGGAUUGGUGCCUUCGGGAACUCUGAGACAGGUGCUGCAUGGCUGUCGUCAGCUCGUGUUGUGAAAUGU